CUUGGUGCUGGGAUGCACCCGCAGGCUUACUUUCAGCUAGAGGUGCUGAAUAAGGAAACCUGGAGCUCUGAGUCAGAAAUGUUGUCUAAUUCUUGUUCAAAGAGCAAUUUACUUCGGCAGUGAUGUCCAAGUUCAGCAGGUGGCGAUGGAGCGGACGGAGUGGCUUCCGAAGAGCUCGGCGAUCGCUGCGGCCGCAGCUCGGAACGGGAAAGCUGGAGGCGAGCCACACGGUGGCAAUGUGCACAAGGAAAUGAACCGCUGCCCGAAAGCCGCAGCGCUCGGGAUCGCGUCGUUCCGCCUCCGGAUCGACCCGCGGUGCUGUGCUGCGGGAGCUGGGCCGGCAUCUCGAGCACCUUCUCGGUUUUAGAGAGGCCGUAACGAGGGCGGAAGACAAUGUCCCCUUGACGUCUGCAUGAAUGAGCUCAUUUAUCCCCCCCAGCGUCCGGAAACCGUUCCUCCUGCCCCGACAGCUGCAGGCUCUGUUUGCUCAGGGCCAUGGCCAGCCCCACUGCUCCCUGCCCCGCAGAGCCCCAUGCGCAGCAUUGCACCGAGCAGCAGCCGCCGGCACGCCAAGGAGCGCUUCGCCCUGUUUGGGUGAAACGCUGUGGACUGCCGGCCAAGGCUUGGAUUCCUUCCCCAGAAUGGCGUUUCCGUCAUUUAUUUCAACUAUUUCAGUUCUUCUCCUAGCGCCAGGACCCGCUGCCAACUGCUGUUCGACGGCUAUUUAAUUAAUAUGUGUGCUUCUGUAGCUGUUGUCCUUCGUUGUAACGUAUGUAGGUUGCUCCGCAAGUAAUGCCUCCUAUUUAUUUCCAUGGAAACUGCAGCAGAUACAAAGAGCAGAAUAACGCUGUGUGGUGGAGCAAACUCUCUAAUAAACACUAUUUUUUCAACAUAGUCACCAUCAUUAGCUGUGAGUUUUCAGCCGUGGUGAACAAGAGCCUGCUUGCAGCUCUUGUAAAUAUCUGCACCAGUGGAGGUGACCCAGCGUUUCACAGCUGCUAGCGGCACUGUUGCUAGGAAGAUGUUGCCCACACAAUCUAACUUUCAUUGUCCUAACUUUUUUUUUUUUU
ensembl:lncRNA